AACGCAGAUGGCACUGUCGGGAUAGGCCUGGCAGUACGUUUCUUUCAGCGUCGUUUCAACAACACUCAGGCUGCGCCUUUACUGGCAUAGUCCUGGACUUUGAGGGUCACGCUCUGUCAUGGAGUGUGUUCCUUUAAAUUGAGCGGAACGACAUGUGCUUAUGCACACUGCACCAAUUACUUGACAGCGACGUGGGUAAUUUCACUUAGGUGAAUCUUUACGUGGCUGUUUCAAAGAAAGGCGUAUGUGCGGCUGAGCGCAAGGGUCUAUCCGGUUAUCGGAGGCUUUUGCCUUCAACAAUCAUUUCGACUCAGACCUGAAAUGAAGCGAGAAUACCCGCCGAACUUAA
rnacentral:misc_RNA from 1 species